CGCGUAGGCGGUGCAGAUAGUCAGAUGUGAAAUUCCUGGGCUUAACCUGGGGGCUGCAUUUGAUACGUCUGUGCUUGAGUGUGGAAGAGGGUCGUGGAAUUCCCAGUGUAGAGGUGAAAUUCGUAGAUAUUGGGAAGAACACCGGUGGCGAAGGCGGCGACCUGGUCCAUAACUGACGCUGAGGCGCGAAAGCGUGGGGAGCAAACAGGAUUAGAUACCCUGGUAGUCCACGCUGUAAACGAUGUGUGCUGGAUGUUGGGUUACCUAGUAACUCAGUGUCGUAGCUAACGCGAUAAGCACACCGCCUGGGGAGUACGGCCGCAAGGUUGAA
rnacentral:rRNA from 1 species